AUGUAUGAAGACUGCAAAUCCAUUUCUGCUCAGGAGAUGAUGGAAAAAUGUCCUCUCUCACUACAGAAGAGCACUCUCAAAUUUCCCUGCUACUACUUGAAACGUGGUGAUGCUUUUAAAGCAGACAUUUUCUGUGGCCUUAGCUGCUCACAGGUCUGUCCUAAAACCGAAGUAGCCACUGUGCAUACAUAG
ensembl:lncRNA